AUUGAACGCUGGCGGCAGGCCUAACACAUGCAAGUCGAGCGGAUGAAGGGAGCUUGCUCCUGGAUUCAGCGGCGGACGGGUGAGUAAUGCCUAGGAAUCUGCCUGGUAGUGGGUGAUAACGUCCGGAAACGGGCGCUAAUACCGCAUACGUCCUGAGGGAGAAAGUGGGGGAUCUUCGGACCUCACGCUAUCAGAUGAGCCUAGGUCGGAUUAGCUAGUUUGUGGGGUAAAGGCCUACCAAGGCGACGAUCCGUAACUGGUCUGAGAGGAUGAUCAGUCACACUGGAACUGAGACACGGUCCAGACUCCUACGGGAGGCAGCAGUGGGGAAUAUUGGACAAUGGGCGAAAGCCUGAUCCAGCCAUGCCGCGUGUGUGAAGAAGGUCUUCGGAUUGUAAAGCACUUUAAGUUGGGAGGAAGGGCAGUAAGUUAAUACCUUGCUGUUUUGACGUUACCAACAGAAUAAGCACCGGCUAACUUCGUG
rnacentral:rRNA from 1 species